GAUGAACGCUGGCGGCGUGCCUAAUACAUGCAAGUCGAGCGAACAGACGAGGAGCUUGCUCCUCUGACGUUAGCGGCGGACGGGUGAGUCACACGUGGAUACUCUACCUAUAAUACUGGGAUCACUUCGGGACACGGGAGCUAAUACCGGAUAAUAUAUUGAACCGCAUGGUUCAAUAGUGAAAGACGGUUUUGCUGUCACUUAUAGCUGGAUCUCGGCCGUAUGAGCUAGUUGGUAAUGUGAAGGCUUUCCAAGGGGACUAGGCGUAUCCGACCUGAUAGGGUGAUCGGCCACACGGGAACUGAAACACGGUCCAGACGCCUACGGGAGGCAGCAGUAGGGAAUCUUACGCAAUGGGCGAGAGCCUGACGGAGCAACGCCGCGUGAGUGAUGAAGGUCUUCGGAUCGUAAAACUCGGUUAUUAGGGAAGAACAAAUGUGUAAGUAACUAUGCACGUCUUGACGGUACCUAAUCAGAAAGCCACGGCUAACUACGUG
rnacentral:rRNA from 1 species